rnacentral:rRNA from 1 species
AUUGAACGCUGGCGGCAUGCCUUACACAUGCAAGUCGAACGGCAGCACGGGUGCUUGCACCUGGUGGCGAGUGGCGAACGGGUGAGUAAUACAUCGGAAUGUACCUUGUAGCGGGGGAUAGCUCGGCGAAAGCCGGAUUAAUACCGCAUACGCUCUGAGGAGGAAAGCGGGGGGCCUUCGGGCCUCGUGCUACAAGAGCAGCCGAUGUCAGAUUAGCUUGUUGGUGAGGUAAAAGCUCACCAAGGCGACGAUCUGUAGCUGGUCUGAGAGGACGACCAGCCACACUGGGACUGAGACACGGCCCAGACUCCUACGGGAGGCAGCAGUGGGGAACUUUGGACAAUGGGCGAAAGCCUGAUCCAGCAAUGCCG